ensembl:lncRNA
GACCUUUUAAGUCAUAUCCUUGUGGUAAUUUGAUUUCCCUCUGCAUUAAAGACAUUAACAUUUUAAGUGUCUUAGAUGCUGAUGUGACACAUGGACCAGUGGAAAUGGUGGUUUUGCAUGUGCUGGCAUUCAGCCCCUCUGAGCAACGUCCCAAACACCAAACUGCUUUUGGAGCAUCUUUGCCCCAAAAGGAGCUGCUACCGUGCUGAAAUUAGAGCCCAGAUCACUCUUCAGAGAAUCAAUUUGCCUGAUCCUUGGGGGAUAUGACAUUAGCAUGGUGGCUAUCAUCAGUCAGAGGGCUCCCUGAUCUGCAGGCACGACCUACCAGCAGGAUCUGAGCAGGAUCACCAGGUCCCUGGCCUAGGUCACCCUCAGGGUGGCAGUGGCUCGCUACAAGGGUGCACUGCAAGGAGGCAGUGGAAGAUUGUGCAGCACCUGCAAGGACCCAGUCCCCUUCUGUGUGGGAUGUGUUAGCAGCUGAAGAGCUGAGCUCCUGCUUUUCUUUAUGUGCUCUCCUGACUCAGCCGAUCCCUGUUACAAGCACAGCUGCACUCAAGAGAAGAACAUGUUAUGAAGAGAGUUCAAACUGGCUCUUCUGCUGUGGAAACCACAUCUGUUCAAGCUGGCAUGGAGGACUGUUCUCAGGAGGAGGGAGAUGCAAAGUUCAAGGGAACUGCCUGCGAAGACACACAGUGACGGCGCUGGGUUAUAUAAUGUGCCUUGGUGUGAGGAAGCUCUUUGUUCUAUUUACAAAUCCCUGUAUUACUGACAAGGAAACUUUGAUGGCUGCCUUCCAAAGACAACAAUGAAGAAAGAAAGAAAGAAAGGUUUUACAAGUAUAAUUACAAAGCAAUUAAAUGUGGGAGCAGUGAGGAAGACUGCACCAAGGAACACUGAGCCUAUUUGUUUGAAAACUCCACAGGUGCUGGUUACAGCUUUGAAACACCAAGGUUAUUGUGUCUGAAGAGUAUUGUUUCAUCCACAAAGAGGUCAAAUACCAGAGAACAUUCUUGGAUAUUAUGUGAGAUUUAAGCGAGACCUGUUCCUCAAAGACUACCUUAUAAACCAGUUUAUCUGAUACAAAAGCUCCCAAACCUGGAGAAAACUCAGGGUGAAAGUGGAAUACCAAGGGAGAGGAUAGAGCAGAGGCCACAAAAUCAUGAAUAAUGCAGAGCAGAGGGAUGGAGAAUGAAUAAUCACUAUUUGCCAUAGCACGAGAGCACUGAUUUUCAUUAAAAAACAAUCACAAUCAUUUUUCUCUGCAGAAACAGGCUUUUAUUAAACUGAUACCUCUAAGCCAAUCUCUGGGACUCUGCCUCUACCAUUCACUUUUCUGUACUCCUCAGUAAAUAUUUAGACUGAAUGGUGUAGAGCUGUAAUGUCCUCUGGGAAUAACCCUUGGUACCUGUCACUAAAUCCAUUCUAUAUAUUUGCUGGUGAACAGUUUGGCUGUAUACUAGAUGCUGUUCUUGCUAUUCAAUGAAAAAUUUCCCUGGGUUCUGUGGGGAAAAAAGACAUUUAUUUGGUGAAAGCACAUUAUAAAGAAUUAUAAGGUAGGGAUAGUCCUUCCAAGUUUUGUUCAAACUCCAUUUCAGACAUCAGGAGUUCUUUAUCUCAGCUGUCUAUCUAGGAAAAUAUUUACCCAUUAUAAUGACCUAAUCACAGGAAGGGGCCAGGGCCCAAUUUUCUCGUUUGCCUGCCUGUCUCAUUGUGGGGUGAGGCUUGAUGCAGGGCGUGUACCAGUCCCAGAUCCCUGUGCAGAGCCUGCAGUUGGUGCUCAACACCAACAGCGUUAACCAAUGCAAUGUUCUGGGUGCUGGGC